rnacentral:lncRNA from 1 species
UCUGUGAAAACAAUGACAAUUCUUACAUAACUGGAUACAUUGUCUGCCAAUGAGGACAACCACAGAGAGCAUUUCAGUUGUUAAAAUGUUCAUAUUCCACAUUGAUUAUUUAAAAAAUUGUAAAUAUAUGGGCAUUUACAAAUAAAUAUGAAGGUUUUAAAAGAGGUUUUUCACUCUAGCAUCCCCUAGCCAGUAGUGUUUGAAAAUCAUUUUU